CAGUCAUUCUCUCAUUUCCCCUGCUUAUAGUCUGAGACCACUCCCUGCCACUCCAGUGUCUUUCUUGCCGAAGUGCAGAGUAACUUGUUCGGUAGAGUUCUCGGACCCCUUAUCGUAGUACACAUGUGAGUGUGGCAUGUCAGUUUUCCUUCUUGCUGUUGUCUUCGAGUCGUCCACUGGUAGAGGUUUACUGAGGGUUUUUUCUAUGUGCCUCUGUGUCUAUUUCUCUCUAUUGUUACGAACUGAGACUCUUAUCUUCGAAGUCGGUGUGAUGACCGAAAGUGCCAAAACAGUUAUCCCUGUCCGAAAAAUCGUGUGGAUACAUCACAGCUGUGUAUUUCAGUACGGAGAUUGACAACUAAGGUGAGACCAGUAUUUACAUAGCGGCCCAUAUUCUGAGAUUGGGUAAAUCUCAUUGGUGAUGAAAAAUACUAUCUCCACAAAUCGCGAAAUCUUGUGAAAGCUUCCUGCCCUUCGAAACGGCAUUAGAAUUUGUACCUUGGUGAGUUUACUGUUAAUGAAAUGACAGGAAAGUAAUGUCUCAAAUUCGAAAUUGCUGUCAGUAUUUUUGCUGAUCUAAAUACCAGCAAGUUAGAUUGAUAUCUACACUUAUUUACAAUGUAAACAUGCUCUGAGAGAAAAAUUUGUGUACCAUGACUUAUUAAAUGAACAUUCCACUGGUUUUCAUUAUAUAUAUAUAUAUAUAUAUAGAUAUCCGUAGAUUUGCAGGUUCUCAUGGCAUAUUCAUGUGACGUUUUAGAUAUGGAUAACCACCUCUUUUAUGUAAAGAGUCUCUGCAAGAAACAUUCCUUCGACAAAA